GAGUUUGAUCCUGGCUCAGAUUGAACGCUGGCGGCAGGCCUAACACAUGCAAGUCGAACGGUAACAGGAAGCAGCUUGCUGCUUCGCUGACGAGUGGCGGACGGGUGAGUAAUGUCUGGGAAACUGCCUGAUGGAGGGGGAUAACUACUGGAAACGGUAGCUAAUACCGCAUAACGUCGCAAGACCAAAGAGGGGGACCUUCGGGCCUCUUGCCAUCGGAUGUGCCCAGAUGGGAUUAGCUAGUAGGUGGGGUAACGGCUCACCUAGGCGACGAUCCCUAGCUGGUCUGAGAGGAUGACCAGCCACACUGGAACUGAGACACGGUCCAGACUCCUACGGGAGGCAGCAGUGGGGAAUAUUGCACAAUGGGCGCAAGCCUGAUGCAGCCAUGCCGCGUGUAUGAAGAAGGCCUUCCGGUUGUAAAGUACUUUCAGCGGGGAGGAAGGGAGUAAAGUUAAUACCUUUGCUCAUUGACGUUACCCGCAGAAGAAGCACCGGCUAACUCCGUGCCAGCAGCCGCG
rnacentral:rRNA from 1 species